rnacentral:rRNA from 1 species
GCGCAUGCCGGGCCAGAAGCCGGGGGAAUACGGAGGAUCCAAGCGUUAUCCGGAAUCAUUGGGUGUAAAGGGUCCGGAGGCGGCCGUAUAAGUCAGUGGUGAAAGCCCAUCGCGUAACGAUGGAACGGCCAUUGAUACUGUAGGGCUUGAACUUUUGUGAAGUAACUAGAAUAUGUAGUGUAGCGGUGAAAUGCUUAGAUAUUACAUGGAAUACCAAUUGCGAAGGCAGGUUACUAACAAACAAUUGACGCUGAUGGACGAAAGCGUGGGGAGCGAACAGGAUUAGAUACCCCAGUAGUC